GACGAACGCUGGCGGCGUGCCUAAGACAUGCAAGUCGAGCGGGGUUUCAGGGCUUCGGUCCUGAGACCCAGCGGCGGACGGGUGAGUAACACGUGGAUAACCUGCCCUCUGCUCUGGGAUAACAGGCCGAAAGGCCUGCUAAUACCGGAUAAGCUCACGGACCCGCAUGGGUUUGGGAGAAAAGGCGCUGGAGUCGGUGGCGCUGGCAGAGGAGGGGUCCGCGGCCCAUUAGCUGGUUGGCGGGGUAACGGCCCACCAAGGCGACGAUGGGUAGCCGGCCUGAGAGGGCGACCGGCCACACUGGGACUGAGACACGGCCCAGACUCCUACGGGAGGCAGCAGUCGGGAAUUUUGCACAAUGGCCGAAAGGCUGAUGCAGCAACGCCGCGUGAGCGAAGAAGGCCUUCGGGUUGUAAAGCUCUGUUGCCUGCGAAGAAGGGCCCUGUCAGGAAAUGGGCGGGGUUUGACGGUAGCAGGCGAGGAAGCCCCGGCAAACUACGUGCCAGCAGCCGCGGUAAUACGUAGGGGGCGAGCGUUGUCCGGAAUUACUGGGCGUAAAGGGCGUGUAGGCGGCCUGUUAAGUCAGGGGUGAAAGACCGGGGCUCAACCCCGGGGGUGCCUCUGAAACUGGCGGGCUUGAGUGCUCUAGAGGGCAGUGGAAUUCCCGGUGUAGCAGUGAAAUGCGUAGAGAUCGGGAGGAACACCAGUGGCGAAGGCGGCUGCCUGGGGAGUCACUGACGCUGAGGCGCGAAAGCUAGGGGAGCAAACAGGAUUAGAUACCCUGGUAGUCCUAGCCGUAAACGAUGAGCGCUAUGUGUGAGGGGUAUCGACCCCCCUCGUGCAGUAGCUAACGCAUUAAGCGCUCCGCCUGGGGAGUACGGCCGCAAGGUUGA
rnacentral:rRNA from 1 species